AGGAGGCCUGUGGUGAUGGAGACUGGUCCGUACACUCAUUUUUUGGAGGAUACAUACGCAGAAGAGGCUCAUCCCCUAUGCCAUGCCAUGGAGGUCCAGCCUCACCAACACCAGCAACUGAGACUUCAGGCCUUUGAACUCCUCAGCCUGGCAGAGAACUGACAUGGCCUAGACCUGCUGACUCCCAUUGCCCUCUCCGAGCCUGGGGUGAUGCUGUGGAUAACAGAUUUUGUCUCACCAAAUCUGCUGCUGCUGAUGGUGAAGUGUGAGGUUGGCUGCUGUCAUGUAGCAUGUCUGAGCAGAGAACACAAGCAACGCACAGCCUGGCUGAGGACGGCUGCUGCUGAUCAUGUCAGCAGCCUGAGGAGGGGGUCCAUGAAAUUCCCACAACCCACUGGGAAAAGGAGCUGAAGAGCCAGCUGUUUGGAAGGCAGACAUGGGGGAACCUGUGAAAGCAGCACUGUGACCAGCAGGAAGUGAGCACAGAGCUGCCUGAAGACGGAGCUGGCGAGUGGUGAGGGGCUAACACCUGUGGCAUUCAGAACCUGGGCAACUGUGCAGUUUGGGGCUUGUGGUGAUUGCUGUAGAAAGGCUGCACCAGGAAAAUCCCAGACUUGCUCAGAGGGCUUGGGGAAGAAAGGGAAAGCCAGCUGGUGGUGCAGUGACUCCAACAGAUGCAGUUCCUGAAUGCAGCUCUGGUGGGUGCUGCUGUUUCAUGAAUUCUGCCCCCAAAGUUGGAUGCCAGAUGAAGUGUAAAUCUAAUUAAUCUUAUCAAUAAAAUCAAGGAGACAGAUAUCAGGGUAAAAGCCUGAAAAAAAAUCAGAGAAGCGGAUGAGUAGCCACAGUUGCUUCCUACCCUUUUUGUUUCUCAGUCUGAAAGGGCCAAGACCCUCUCUCUGCCCUACCUUAUCACUUCCUGUUUCCUUUCUAUUCAGAUCUCCAUAUCUCUUUGGUUAACUAGUAGCUAGCUCUGCCCUCUGACUCCAAGUUUUAUUUGUCAGAAUACAAUCAAAAUAUCAUACAACAUGGGUGGCUACCUCAAGUGUGUCUUAACAGCCCCAGGGGUCACUGAUCAUGUUCCUUGAGCAACCUUAAACAGUGUCCAACCCAGCCUGACUUCCAAAGCUUGUUAUAAAUUACUGUUUCAAUAGGUGAGUCUUGAACAACUUGGAAUUCAGUCAGUCCUUAGGGGCCAGAAAAACCCUGGAGGAGUCUGAGGGUCUGUAGGUAACCUGCCUGUAUGAGUUCACGAGGUUAGUGAGAGGAUGAGGUGCUUGUAGACAUCGCCAAGUUUCCACAUUCUGCUGCCCCUCUAUACCCCAUACACAUGUGUGUGCAUGCCACACUAAGGCAACAAAUCCACAGAGUCUGCUUAAAGGACAAAGGGAUUUAUUAAGAAAGGAAAACUCACAAGAUAGAAGAGAGUCAUGGAAAAGGUGAGGCACAGUCUCAUGUUCUUACAACUGUCCCAGUAUACAAGGAGCAAAAGAGAAAGAUGCAUAUGUGCAUCUCAGGUCUUAAGGGUAGCCAAGAGGCCAUGCCCCAGGGGCAUGUACUUCAAGGUCAUAGGCAGGUAAAGCAUUUACCUGCUACAUCUCUAGGGCUGUGCUUCAGGGUCAUAGAAUGGAUAUCCACUACAUCUUCCCCUUUUGUCUAAAUAAGAAAGUUCUAACCUAUUAUAAAACUAUAUACAGUAUGAACGGUUAUCAACUAUUGUCCAGGAGAGGACAAAGGUAAUAACCAAAACAAAAAUACAACCAACAAGAACAUCAAACAUCAAACAAGAGACAUAUGUUAAAUUGCAGAGAUGUCCAGAAGAUAGGUAAAUGUCAUGUUACAGAGAUUACUCCAAUAGCUGUCCUAUUCUAAAAAAUUGAACUUUAGUAUCUGAAAUGUUCUUAGCUAAGAUAUGAGAGGAUUAUAAUUAUAACUUGUUGUUAGAAUCUUAGAUGAUCUUUUAAUAAAAAACCCAGAGCCAGAUAUCAGGGUAAAAGCUGAAAGUACAGAGAAGCAGAAGAGCCAGUCACUAGUUCUUACCUCUAUGAAACCCUCAGCCUAA